GCGAGGGUAGCCAAGCGGUCAACGGCGGCGGACUCAAGAUCCGCUCUCGUAGGAGUUCGUGGGUUCAAUUCCCUCCCCUCGCA
rnacentral:tRNA from 1 species